ensembl:lncRNA
AUUUCUGAACUUGAUAAUUGUAAUUUGUGUUAAUUGGUAAAUUGUGUCUUGUAGAGAGAUAUUUGAUAGUAAAUUACAUGUUUUUUAAAAGAAAAUUUCCUUUAUAGUGAGGUGGUAAUCAUUUCAUAAUUCUUAGUUUUGGGAAGUGUCUAUUAUAAGUAACACGUCUGACCUCUUAAAAUGUAAGGAAAUUGAAUUUAUGUAAUGAUUCAGGCUUUUCAAAGUUAAAAAGGUAGCUGUUUUGAGGAAUUGAUAGUUUGGGACAUUUGUUUUAAACAAAAUAAGCCUUUGAUCUUAUGCACAUAGCCAUACAAGUAAAAUGUUUUCUUAUUUUAAAUUAGAUUAUGUUUUAAAAUUUUUUUCAGUUUUGCUUUAUGUUUGAUUGAUUGCUUUCCUUUAUUCCUAAGACAUCCAUUAAGUUGAAUUGUUCAAAAUUGUUUCAUUUUUAAAAGCUGAGAACUGUUGUUUGUCAAAUCAAAGUUGGAUUUUAAAAUGCACAUUUUAAUUUUAAUAAGCUCUCUGGUAGUGGAACUGCAGUGACAGAUGGUUGGGAGUUUGUUCCUAAAGCUAUUACACCAGUCUUCUAAUGUGCAUACUUGUUCUGUGUAACCCUGGCAGAUUUUUUCUCUAUUUCAGAAUGGGACAACAGAAGAAGUGACUUCAAAAGAAGAGGAAGAAGAAGAGAUGGCUGAAGUAGGCAUUUUUUGUAAGAAUAACAUUUUGGCCAGGAUAUAGAAGAACUUAGAUCACUAUGAGAUGAAAGAAGAGCCUAUUAGUGAGAAAAAGUUGGAGGAUGAAGGAAUUGAAAAAGAAAAUUGGGCAAUAUUAGAGAAAAUUAGGAAGACUGAAAGGCAAGACCAUUUAAAUGUUGAUCUUCAGAUCUUAAAAGAAAAACAAGGGAUAGGAGACAUUUUGCUUAUCUUUUAAGGUAUAUAUUGGGUGAAGGAGCAUUAUGUAUGGAACCUCUCACAAAACAGGUGAUUAUUUUCUUAUAAUACUCAAUUUUCACACUAAUAGAGUGUUUUGAUUAUGUAAGUUAGAUGGUAAGUAGAAGGUUCUCUUAAAGACAUUUUAGUGGGUUUUUUGUUGUUGCUGUUGUUUUUUCUUCAUAGCUCCUACUUUCAAGAAUGAAAAAGGUAUCCCAGCACUUUGGGAGGCCAAGGUGGAUGGAUCACGAGGUCAGGAGAUCGAGACCAUCCUGGCUAACACGGUGAAACCGUGUCUCUACUAAAAAAUAGAAAAAAAUUAGCUGGGCAUGAUGGCAGACUCCUGUAGUCCCAGUAGUAGAGUCAACCACUUUUAGGCAGCCCCCCGUACUUGGGAGGCUGAGGCAGGAGAGUGGCAUGAACCUGGGAGACAGAGCUUGCAGUGAGCUGAGAUGGUACCACUGCACUCCAGCCUGGGCAACUGAGUGAGACUCCAUCUCAAAAUAAAUAAAUAAAUAAAUAAAUAAAUAAAUAAAAUAAAAAACAUAAACCAGUAAAAUGACAUUGUACUUGGUGCUGAAUCUAUGCUAGGAUAGGCAUUAAGAGUGACCUUUAUUUAAGGUUCUAAUUUGCUCAUGUUGGGCACUUAGAACAUCCGUUUGUUGUUUUUUGUGAGAUUCUGGAAAUGUUCCAAUUUUACUGUUUCCCCUUGACUCCAGACUUUGUAACACUGGUCUGCUGCUGUUAAGUUAUAUGCCAUUUUGUUAGGGCUUCUCAAGUGGGAAUCAGGAAUGUUGCUGUGUUCUAGAGAUGUUUUGUUCUUCCUGUAGGGCUGAAGCAGUGCCUACUCCAUAGAAUCAGUCAUCAUGCAAAUAAAUGCCACCUGAGUCAAAGGCAAAGCCAACGUGCAGCUUGGAGCAAAGAAGGUACUUCUAUUAAGAAUUUUACAUAAACCGUAAGAUACAUUUUAUAUUACUUUGUGAGCCUACUUCCUGUCUUAAUUCUUUCUGAGAGAAUUCAUUUCAUUUUCAUUUGGUUUGUUUUCUUUUUGUUACAAAGAUGAUCUAUAGAAAAUAUAGAAGUAUAAGAAAAUUAAAGAUACUGACUAAUAAUCACUUAAUGAUUUAGUAUCUGAUUGUUUAGUCUUUGUUAUAUUUACUGUAGACAAACAUGUCUACAGUUGUAAAUUUAUUAUUGGUAUGUAUACCCUAGUAAAAGUUAUAUGUACUUUGAAGUUUUGCAAAGUUCAUGUUAUAGAAUUAAUUCCUGAUGAACUUUUAUGUGCUAGACACUAGUCUUUUAUUUAUUUAUUUUACUUUUUUUCCCUCUGUGCCUAUGCUUACCAAGUCUUUUUAUUUUUUACUUCUCACUAGCUCUUUCAAUCCUCUUAAUAACUUAAAAAGAGGGUAUUAUUAAUAUCUGCAUUUUAUGGAUGAGGCAACUGAAGGCAGGUAACUUGUCCAAGGUCACAGGUGGCAGAGCAAGGAUUGGAAUGAGACAGCCUGACUGCCCUAGGCCCUACCAAGAAGAGCUGAGAGCAAGCCAUGGGGCAGAAGGAUGUUGGUCAGGCUGGUUUUCUGUUUAGUUAACAUGAAAUGCAGGCUGUAACCUUAAUUCUAGGACAUUACAGAGAAAGCCUUCCAAAGCCAGAGGUUUUUUUUUACCAUGACCAUGACUUUUUAGCAAAAAUAUGAUUUUGUUUAAAGGCAACAUGGUGUUCUAAGAAGCUUCCACUCACACUCUUGUGGAGGGAAUGGUAGUUGAACUAAAUAGUGAAAUGCUGCAGCACAUGGCCUUUAGGCAGCUUCUGACCUAUUUCUAUGGUCAGGAAAGACACCCAUCUUUCCCUGCUGCCCACAGCCUCCAGCUAUUCACCUUCAGAAUUUCCUAGUCUGUGAUCACAUUCCAAUGAGGGAUCUGUUUUGUUUUUUCCAGGGUAGCAGAAAGUGAGUCACCACCUGUACUAAGCAGUCUAGUCUUCUGUGUAUAAAUGAGCAAGGUUGGGGAGCCAAAUUUGAGAACCUUGUGUAAUCCUGAGAUUCUCCAAGAGAAUACAAGAGAAUCUCAGGAUUAUGCAUGGUGGUAAAGUGGUCUCAUGUUAGUUGUAUCCACAGCUCUCAUCAGAAGCAGACACAGAUAUUUUUUGUAGGAAAGCAUCUCUAACUUAAGCCUGUAGGAUUCCCGAAGAUUAAAAGCAGGCAAUUAUGAAUUCAGUCAAAUCAUAGCAUUCAAGUAGUCUCAACCCAACAUAUUUGAGAAUUGUCAGAAACAAUGAAUAAUAUGUUUCCCAAAGACUGUAGGUUUUGGAAUUAUCAGAUACAGAACACAGACUUCAAAUAUUAGAAUGGUGAGAAAAUAGUUACAUGUGAAACCUAAUAUAGAAGAAAGAUGGACUCAUAAAAUUGAGCAACCAGUAAGACCACCAGGAAUGAUGAGGAGGACCUGAAAAGAAAAUGGAUGAAAUAGAACUUACAGAAAUAAAAUAUAUAGCUGAGUAUGGUGGCUCACACCUGUAAUCCCAGCACUCUUUGGGAGGCUGAGGUGGGAGGAUGGUAUGAGCCCAGGAGUUGGAGACAAGCCUGGGCAACAUGGUGAGAACUCAUUUCUAUAAAAAUACCCCACCACCACCAAAAAAAAAAAAAAGCUGGGUAUGGGGCAUGUGCCUAUAGUUCUAGCUAGUCAGGAGGCUGAGGUGGGAGGAUCACUUGAGCGCAGGAGGCCAAGGCUACAGGUACAUGCCACUGCAGUCCAGCCUGGCUGACAGACUGAGACUCCAUCUCAGAAUGAAAUGACAUAAAGAAAUAAAAAAUGUAAUUGUUGAAAUAAACUCAGUGGAUGGAUUAGACAUCAGAAGAAAGAAUUAAUUGGUUAGACAAUUACCUCCCAAAAGUAAGUCAGUAUGUUACACAGAGAGACAUGAGGAUAGAUGACAGGGCAGAAGUUGGUG